rnacentral:rRNA from 1 species
GACGAACGCUGGCGGCGUGCCUAAUACAUGCAAGUCGAACGCAGUGGGGACGGGUGAGUAACACGUGGGUAACCUCCCAUCAGAGGGGAUAACACUUGUAAACAUGUGCUAAACCGAGACUGAUGGAUGGACCCGCGGUGCAUUAGCUAGUUGGUGAGGUAACGGCUCACCAAGGCCACGAUGCAUAGCCGACCUGAGAGGGUGAUGUGGCACACGUGAAAUGAGACACGGCCAAGACUCCUACGGGACGCAGCAGGAGGGAAGCUUCGUCAAUGGCUGAUAGUCAGACCGAGCAACGGCGCGUGAGUGAAGAAGGUUUUAGGAUCGUAAAACUCUGUUGUUAUAUAAGCGGUAGCUAAUCAGAAAGCCACUGCUAACUACGUGCUAGCCGCCGCGGUAAUUC